rnacentral:misc_RNA from 1 species
UAAGACCAAGGAUGAAAGAUGCAAGUCUGCUAAUUGGAUAGUGGUGCAUAGGGCUAUAAUGGCUAUCAAGGAUGUGGAUAGCUUGUUCUCUGCAUUGGAUCCUGAGUAUUAUGAUAUUCUCAUGAAGUACUUGUACAGAGGUUUGUCUACUGGAGACCGCCCAACAUGUGACCAAUGUCUAAGGAUCCAUGAAAAACUAACAGAAAAAGCUGGUUUGGGAUGCAUACUGCGUUGUCUUGCUGACACUGUGAAUACUGUGUGACUAAUACGCUGGGUACUGUAGCAAUUUGUAUAUGUCUUAUCUUUGCUUUCUGAUUGAAUAUUGAUGUUGAGAUUGAGUUUAGCCUAUUUUCAAAGGGCUGAUUCCUCUCCUUUAGUCGUAUGUAUUCUUCGCGACAUAUAACAUAUGAACUGUACCAAGG